CUUGCACUAGGAUAAUGGAGAUGGAGAUGGUAUAUACUCCGAAGGCAUGAAGACAGGUAUUUGCUCCAGGAAACUCAAGACAUGAUGGUUCCGUUUUGGACGAAAAAGAAAAGUAGCACCACUGUGUUAACCCAAUGCUUAGGUGAUUAACUGCAAAUCAAAAAAUUAUCCCCUGUUUGCGCAAUAUGGAAGUACAUAUGGUUAUUGGUCC